rnacentral:rRNA from 1 species
UACGUAGGGGGCGAGCGUUGUCCGAAUUUACUGGGCGUAAAGCGCGUGUAGGCGGUCCUUUAAGUCAGGUGUGAAAUCCUGUGGCUCAACCACAGAACUGCAUUUGAAACUGAAGGGCUUGAGUGUGGGAGAGGAAAGUGGAAUUCCUGGUGUAGCGGUGAAAUGCGUAGAUAUCAGGAGGAACACCCGUGGCGAAGGCGGCUUUCUGGCCCACCACUGACGCUGAGACGCGAAAGCUAGGGGAGCGAAC